rnacentral:rRNA from 1 species
UGGGGAAUAUUGGACAAUGGGCGCAAGCCUGAUCCAGCCAUGCCGCGUGAGUGAUGAAGGCCUUAGGGUUGUAAAGCUCUUUCACCGAUGAAGAUAAUGACGGUAGUCGGAGAAGAAGCCCCGGCUAACUUCGUGCCAGCAGCCGCGGUCAUACGAAGGGGGCUAGCGUUGUUCGGAUUUACUGGGCGUAAAGCGCACGUAGGCGGUUUGUUAAGUCAGGGGUGAAAUCCCAGAGCUCAACUCUGGAACUGCCUCUGAUACUGGCAAGCUAGAGUCCGGAAGAGGUAAGUGGAACUCCUAGUGUAGAGGUGGAAUUCGUAGAUAUUAGGAAGAACACCAGUGGCGAAGGCGGCUUACUGGUCCGGAACUGACGCUGAGGUGCGAAAGCGUGGGGAGCAAACAGG